UCCUCGUUCAACAAAUCGCCAUUCGGAGCUCACACACGGAGACGCUGCGAGCUCGUCUUCGCAGCGUCUCUCCUCCAAGCUCUGGGAGAAAGUCCCCGGACGUCUCGUUUCAUCGAGAAUGCGGAAACGCGCCGCCAUAAAAGCACUGCGGCUGACCUCGGCCGCCCAGGCCCUCUCCCUGCACCGGCCCUGUUCCGCUGCUCGACCUUUACAAAGCAAACCGGCCUCACGUGGGUGCUCACGCCCCCGGUCCUCUUGGAUGACGAUAUGAGUCCGAGCCGGUGGGAUGUGGCAGUCGCUUCGAGCCGGUAUGCUGCGUGAGGGGAGGCGGGCAGACGUUUGGUGCUCGUGGGUGUGGCGUCGGGCGCCGAGGACUUGUUGUCGAGGUUGAUAGGUAUGCGAUUGCUCGGCGAAAGCUGGGUUACUCAAUGGGGCUCAUUCUUGACGCGAGG
rnacentral:RNase_MRP_RNA from 1 species